AUGCGACGCGCCUUUAACUGCAUGCCGCCUCUCCCCCACUACAGAUUCGAACGAGCAUUACAGGACUGUCUUCCCUCUCACUUCUUCGUGUUUAUUCAAUUGUCGCCUGCUUCUUCCUCCUCCAUAACCUCUCUCCAUAUAAUCUGCCAGUAUCUUCGUCGUCUGCUUCUUCCUCUUCUAACACGGUUCCACAGUUUACCGAUCAACCAUAAACGCAAUGGCCAGCAGCAUCUUGAAGCUAUUAUUCAAGAUGCAAAGGCUGAGCAGAUCCAUGUUGUAACCCGCUCCCGUGACCUUGAUGUUUGA